rnacentral:rRNA from 2 species
ACGUGCACGCUCUCGAUCCGCAUGGACGAGGCGUGCACGGAUGCGAUGUGCGGGCGGCGCACUUCUGGCGAGCGAGCGUCAGCGUCGGUUGUCGAUGGGCGACAAGGACAUGAGGAAGGUGAACCGGUCCUCGUGACCGGUUGUUAUAGCCUCUUGUUCGCAUAGCCCGACGGCGACCGUGGCUCUGCGACGCGUGCCUGGCUGGUGAUUCUUACGAUCGGUCCGGCAUGUCGACCGUGGCGGACGGCACGCCUGUGCGCUCAAACUGCUGCCGGUCGAUCGUGGGUUUUUCACACACUACGCGUCUAGGAUGCUGACGGCCAUACGGCUCCAUCCGACCCGUCUUGAAACACGGACCAAGGAGUCUAACAUGUGCGCAAGUCUCCGGGUGAUUGAAACCCGUGGGCACAAUGAAAGUAAAGAUCGUCUUAGACGAUUGAGGUGAGAAGCGAGCACCUAGGUGUUCGCGGCAUCAUCGACCGACCUAUUCUGCUCUCAGAAAGGUUUGAGUAAGAGCGUAUCUGUUGGGACCCGAAAGAUGGUGAACUAUGCCUGAAUAGGGUGAAGCCAGCGGAAACACYGGUGGAAGCUCGUAGCGAUUCUGACGUGCAAAUCGAUC